rnacentral:rRNA from 1 species
UCGAGUUUUUGAACGCAAGUUGCGCCCGAGGCCAGCCGGCCAAGGGCACGUCCGCCUGGGCGUCAAGUGUUGCGUCGCUCCGUGCCAACUCCAUCACACCUAUGCGUGUGUCGGCCAAGGCUCGGACGUGCAGAGUGGCUCAUCGUGCCAAUUGGUGCGG